rnacentral:rRNA from 1 species
AUACGUAGGGGGCAAGCGUUAUCCGGAUUUACUGGGUGUAAAGGGCGUGUAGGCGGGAUUUCAAGUCAGAUGUGAAAACCGAAGGCUCAACCUUCGGCCUGCAUUUGAAACUGAAGUUCUUGAGUGCUGGAGAGGCUAACGGAAUUCCUAGUGUAGCGGUGAAAUGCGUAGAUAUUAGGAGGAACACCAGUGGCGAAGGCGACUUACUGGACGAUAACUGACGCUGAGGCUCGAAAGCGUGGGGAAC